AGCGGCGGAUGGGUGAGUAACACGUGGGGAACCUGCCCCUAAGUCUGGGAUACCAUUUGGAAACAGGUGCUAAUACCGGAUAAUAAAGCAGAUCGCAUGAUCAGCUUUUGAAAGGCGGCGUAAGCUGUCGCUAAGGGAUGGCCCCGCGGUGCAUUAGCUAGUUGGUAAGGUAACGGCUUACCAAGGCGACGAUGCAUAGCCGAGUUGAGAGACUGAUCGGCCACAUUGGGACUGAGACACGGCCCAAACUCCUACGGGAGGCAGCAGUAGGGAAUCUUCCACAAUGGACGCAAGUCUGAUGGAGCAACGCCGCGUGAGUGAAGAAGGUUUUCGGAUCGUAAAGCUCUGUUGUUGGUGAAGAAGGAUAGAGGUAGUAACUGGCCUUUAUUUGACGGUAAUCAACCAGAAAGUCACGGCUAACUACGUGCCAGCAGCCGCGGUAAUACGUAGGUGGCAAGCGUUGUCCGGAUUUAUUGGGCGUAAAGCGAGUGCAGGCGGAAAAAUAAGUCUAAUGUGAAAGCCCUCGGCUUAACCGAGGAACUGCAUCGGAAACUGUUUUUCUUGAGUGCAGAAGAGGAGAGCGGAACUCCAUGUGUAGCGGUGGAAUGCGUAGAUAUAUGGAAGAACACCAGUGGCGAAGGCGGCUCUCUGGUCUGCAACUGACGCUGAGGCUCGAAAGCAUGGGUAGCGAACAGGAUUAGAUACCCUGGUAGUCCAUGCCGUAAACGAUGAGUGCUAAGUGU
rnacentral:rRNA from 1 species